ensembl:lncRNA
AGGUCAACGGAUCCACCCGUACCCGAAUCACAGUACGGUAUAACAGAUCCGAACACGACUGCUGCAGGAGAGAGAGCAAGAAACUGUAUAACUGAUCCGAACACGACUGCUGCAGGAGAGAGAGCAAGAAACUGUAUAACUGAUCCGAACACGACUGCUGCAGGAGAGAGAGCAAGAAACUGUAUAACUGAUCCGAACACGACUGCUGCAGGAGAGAGAGCAAGAAACUGUAUAACAGAUCCGAACACGACUGCUGCAGUAGGGAGAGCAAGAAACUGUAUAACUGAUCCGAACACGACUGCUGCAGGAGAGAGAGCAAGAAACUGUAUAACAGAUCCGAACACGACUGCUGCAGUAGGGAGAGCAAGAAACUGUAUAACAGAUCCGAACACGACUGCUGCAGUAGGGAGAGCAAGAAACUGUAUAACAGAUCCGAACACGACUGCUGCAGUAGGGAGAGCAAGAAACUGUAUAACAGAUCCGAACACGACUGCUGCAGUAGGGAGAGCAAGAAACUGUAUAACUGAUCCGAACACGACUGCUGCAGGAGAGAGAGCAAGAAACUGUAUAACAGAUCCGAACACGACUGCUGCAGUAGGGAGAGCAAGAAACUGUAUAACAGAUCCGAACACGACUGCUGCAGUAGGGAGAGCAAGAAACUGUAUAACAGAUCCGAACACGACUGCUGCAGUAGGGAGAGCAAGAAACUGUAUAACUGAUCCGAACACGACUGCUGCAGUAGGGAGAGCAAGAAACUGUAUAACAGAUCCGAACACGACUGCUGCAGUAGGGAGAGCAAGAAACUGUAUAACAGAUCCGAACACGACUGCUGCAGUAGGGAGAGCAAGAAACUGUAUAACAGAUCCGAACACGACUGCUGCAGUAGGGAGAGCAAGAAACUGUAUAACAGAUCCGAACACGACUGCUGCAGGAGAGAGAGCAAGAAACUGUAUAACUGAUCCGAACACGACUGCUGCAGUAGGGAGAGCAAGAAACUGUAUAACAGAUCCGAACACGACUGCUGCAGUAGGGAGAGCAAGAAACUGUAUAACAGAUCCGAACACGACUGCUGCAGUAGGGAGAGCAAGAAACUGUAUAACAGAUCCGAACACGACUGCUGCAGGAGAGAGAGCAAGAAACUGUAUAACAGAUCCGAACACGACUGCUGCAGGAGAGAGAGCAAGAAACUGUAUAACAGAUCCGAACACGACUGCUGCAGUAGGGAGAGCAAGAAACUUUAUAACAGAUCCGAACACGACUGCUGCAGUAGGGAGAGCAAGAAACUUUAUAACAGACCCGAACACGACUGCUGCAGGAGAGAGAGCAAGAAACUGUAUAACAGAUCCGAACACGACUGCUGCAGGAGAGAGAGCAAGAAACUGUAUAACAGAUCCGAACACGACUGCUGCAGUAGGGAGAGCAAGAAACUGUAUAACAGAUCCGAACACGACUGCUGCAGUAGGGAGAGCAAGAAACUGUAUAACAGAUCCGAACACGACUGCUGCAGGAGAGAGAGCAAGAAACUGUAUAACAGAUCCGAACACGACUGCUGCAGGAGAGAGAGCAAGAAACUGUAUAACAGAUCCGAACACGACUGCUGCAGGAGAGAGAGCAAGAAACUGUAUAACAGAUCCGAACACGACUGCUGCAGGAGAGAGAGCAAUACAUUAUAUGAUGUAUGCUGCUGCUCUUGCUUUUCACGAGAGUGGAGCUUGUUGUUGUCAUCAAAGUGGCAAUAGGCUACACUCGGAGCCUCAUUCCGUGUGUGGCAAAAGCUAG